AUUGAACGCUGGCGGCAGGCCUAACACAUGCGAGUCGAGCGGAUGAAGGGAGCUUGCUCCUGGAUUCAGCGGCGGACGGGUGAGUAAUGCCUAGGAAUCUGCCUGGUAGUGGGGGAUAACGUCCGGAAACGGGCGCUAAUACCGCAUACGUCCUGAGGGAGAAAGUGGGGGAUCUUCGGACCUCACGCUAUCAGAUGAGCCUAGGUCGGAUUAGCUAGUUGGUGGGGUAAAGGCCUACCAAGGCGACGAUCCGUAACUGGUCUGAGAGGAUGAUCAGUCACACUGGAACUGAGACACGGUCCAGACUCCUACGGGAGGCAGCAGUGGGGCCUCUUGGCCCGUGGGCGCGCGCCUGCUCCCGCCCUGCCGCGUGUGUGAAGAAGGUCUUCGGAUUGUAAAGCACUUUAAGUUGGGAGGAAGGGCAGUAAGUUAAUACCUUGCUGUUUUGACGUUACCACCGGAAUAAGCACCGGCUCACUUCGUG
rnacentral:rRNA from 1 species